rnacentral:rRNA from 1 species
GCGGUAAUACGUAGGGGGCUAGCGUUAUCCGGAUUUACUGGGCGUAAAGGGUGCGUAGGCGGUCUUUCAAGUCAGGAGUGAAAGGCUACGGCUCAACCGUAGUAAGCUCUUGAAACUGGGAGACUUGGGUGCAGGAGAGGAGAGUGGAAUUCCUAGUGUAGCGGUGAAAUGCGUAGAUAUUAGGAGGAACACCAGUUGCGAAGGCGGCUC